rnacentral:rRNA from 1 species
CCCUUAGAUGUUCUGGGCCGCACACGCGCUACACUGAAGGAGGCAGCGUGUACUCCUGGAUCGAAAGAUUUGGGUAACCCGCGAAUCUCCUUCGUGCUAGGGAUUGAGGUUUGCAAUUAUCCUUCAUGAACGAGGAAUUCCCAGUAAGUGCAAGUCAUAAGCUUGCGCUGACUACGUCCCUGCCCUUUGUACACACCGCCCGUCGCUACUACCGAUUGAAUGAUUUAGUGAGGACUUCGGACUGGGACCGAUGCGGCUUCCGGGCUGCGUCGGUAUUCUGGAAAGAUGUCCAAACUGUAUCAUUUAGAGGAAGUAAAAGUCGUAACA